UAACGCACUGUGACAAGGAGAGUAAAAGUGAAUCUGUUUUAGAGAGUCUCGGUUUGGUGAAAAGAGAUAAUAGUUGAAGCUUUGAAGAUGGCCUUUGAGUGCUAAUCGUUGAAUCUUUAAACGAUUACGGGAAAGCCCGAUAUAGCUUAUCAGUUAGAUAUUUUAACUGAUUGAGGCAGAAUUUGUGAGAAUUCUGUAAAUUAAGGUGGUAACACGAGAGAACUCGUCCUUUGG
rnacentral:ncRNA from 1 species